rnacentral:rRNA from 1 species
AUGGCGACUGUGGUGGCGACCGUUGAGGCCGGGGUGGUGGCGGUGGCGAGCGGGCGGAGCAGCAAGCUGGUCCGGGGCCUGUACUGGCGCCUGCGCGCGGGGAUCCGGCGGCUGCAGUCGGAGCGGCGCAGGUGGCGCGGCGGCGGCGGCAGACGGGAGCGCUUCAACUUCCACUACGACGCGCUCAGCUACGCCCUCAACUUCGACGACGGUCGCCCCGCCGCCGACUUGGUCCUAGCAUGA